rnacentral:rRNA from 1 species
UGAGUACGAGAUGCUACGGCAUCGAAGCAGUCUAUGUCAUACUUCCAAGAAAAGCUCGCACUGUCAAAAACAAAUGAAUGCCUGUACCAUAACCGACACAGGUGGGUAGGUAGAGUAUACUAAGGGGCGCGAGAUAACUCUCUCUAAGGAACACGGCAAAAUGACUCCGUAACUUCGGGAGAAGGAGUGCCUUAUUUAUAAGGUUGCAAUAACCAGCUCCAAGCAACUGUUUAUCAAAAACACAGGUCUCCGCUAAGUCGUAAGACGAUGUAUGGGGGCUGACGCCUGCCCAGUGCCAGAAGGUUAAAGAAGUUGGUUAGCGCAAGCGAAGCUGAUAACUGAAGCCCUGGUGAACGGCGGCCGUAACAAUAACGGUCCUAAGGUAGCGAAAUUCCUUGUCGGGUAAGUUCCGACCCGCAUGAAAGGCGUAAUGAUUUGGAGGCUGUCUCGGAGAGGGACUCGGUGAAAUAGACUUGUCUGUGAAGAUGCGGACUACCUGCACCAGGACAGAAAGACCCUAUGAAGCUUUACUGUAACUUGAGAUUGAAAUUGGACUUUAUUCGCGCAGUAUAGGUGGGAGGCAUUGAAAAUAUUCUUGCGGGAAUAUUGGAGCCAUCAGUGAGAUACCACUCUUGUAAUGUUAGAUUUCUAACUUUGUAUCAUUAUCUGGUCAAAGAACAGUUUCAGGCGGGCAGUUUGACUGGGGCUGUCGCCUCCUAAAUGGUAACGGAGGCGCACAAAGGUUUCCUCUGAACGGGUAGAAAUCGUAUCUAGAGUGUAAAGGCAUAAGGAAGCUUGACUGUGAGACCUACAAGUCGAGCAGGGACGAAAGUCGGUCUUAGUGAUCUGACGGUGCUGAGUGGAAAGGCCGUCACUCAACGGAUAAAAGUUACUCUAGGAUAACAGGCUGAUCUCCCCCAAGAGUUCACAUCGACGGGGAGGUUUGGCACCUCGAUGUCGGCUCAUCGCAUCCUGGGGCGGUAGUACGUCCCAAGGGUUGGGCUGUUCGCCCAUGAAAGCGGUACGCGAGCUGGGUUCAGAACGUCGUGAGACAGUUCGGUCCAUAUCCGGUGUAGGCGUUAGAAUAUUGAGAGGAGCCUUCUUUAGUACGAGAGGACCGAGAAGGACAUACCUCUGGUGUACCAGUUAUCGUGCCAACGGUAAACGCUGGGUAGCCAUGUAUGGAGUGGAUAACCGCUGAAAGCAUCUAAGUGGGAAGCCCACCUCAAGAUAAG